rnacentral:rRNA from 1 species
AUUGAACGCUGGCGGCAUGCCUUACACAUGCAAGUCGAACGGCAGCACGGAGCUUGCUCUGGUGGCGAGUGGCGAACGGGUGAGUAAUAUAUCGGAACGUACCCUAGAGUGGGGGAUAACGUAGCGAAAGUUACGCUAAUACCGCAUACGAUCUAAGGAUGAAAGUGGGGGAUCGCAAGACCUCAUGCUCGUGGAGCGGCCGAUAUCUGAUUAGCUAGUUGGUAGGGUAAAAGCCUACCAAGGCAUCGAUCAGUAGCUGGUCUGAGAGGACGACCAGCCACACUGGAACUGAGACACGGUCCAGACUCCUACGGGAGGCAGCAGUGGGGAAUUUUGGACAAUGGGCGAAAGCCUGAUCCAGCAAUGCCGCGUGAGUGAAGAAGGCCUUCGGGUUGUAAAGCUCUUUUGUCAGGGAAGAAACGGUGAAAGCUAAUAUCUUUUGCUAAUGACGGUACCUGAAGAAUAAGCACCGGCUAACUACGUGCCAGCAGCCGCGGUAAUACGUAGGGUGCAAGCGUUAAUCGGAAUUACUGGGCGUAAAGCGUGCGCAGGCGGUUUUGUAAGUCUGAUGUGAAAUCCCCGGGCUCAACCUGGGAAUUGCAUUGGAGACUGCAAGGCUAGAAUCUGGCAGAGGGGGGUAGAAUUCCACGUGUAGCAGUGAAAUGCGUAGAUAUGUGGAGGAACACCGAUGGCGAAGGCAGCCCCCUGGGUCAAGAUUGACGCUCAUGCACGAAAGCGUGGGGAGCAAACAGGAUUAGAUACCCUGGUAGUCCACGCCCUAAACGAUGUCUACUAGUUGUCGGGUCUUAAUUGACUUGGUAACGCAGCUAACGCGUGAAGUAGACCGCCUGGGGAGUACGGUCGCAAGAUUAAAACUCAAAGGAAUUGACGGGGACCCGCACAAGCGGUGGAUGAUGUGGAUUAAUUCGAUGCAACGCGAAAAACCUUACCUACCCUUGACAUGGCUGGAAUCCUUGAGAGAUCAGGGAGUGCUCGAAAGAGAACCAGUACACAGGUGCUGCAUGGCUGUCGUCAGCUCGUGUCGUGAGAUGUUGGGUUAAGUCCCGCAACGAGCGCAACCCUUGUCAUUAGUUGCUACGAAAGGGCACUCUAAUGAGACUGCCGGUGACAAACCGGAGGAAGGUGGGGAUGACGUCAAGUCCUCAUGGCCCUUAUGGGUAGGGCUUCACACGCCAUACAAUGGUACAUACAGAGCGCCGCCAACCCGCGAGGGGGAGCUAAUCGCAGAAAGUGUAUCGUAGUCCGGAUUGUAGUCUGCAACUCGACUGCAUGAAGUUGGAAUCGCUAGUAAUCGCGGAUCAGCAUGUCGCGGUGAAUACGUUCCCGGGUCU